rnacentral:hammerhead_ribozyme from 1 species
AUUCAACUGAUGAGUUCCAGCCAGGACGAUACGUGCGUCCCGAAU